rnacentral:misc_RNA from 1 species
GGUCUUCAGUUCUUGGAGUUUAGUUCCCUUUUUUGAUGGGGCUUUUGUGGGUUUCAAUAGGUGGUUUUCCAGGGGCUGUCCUUAUUUGGCUGGCAUUUCAAUGCCGAUCGAGUGAUUGCUGGUCAUAUAUCCCUAUGGGCUACAGAAGAUUGAGAAGCUCAAGCGCUGCACACAUCUUCUUGACUUGACCGAUACAUCCAUGGUUUCUAGCUUUUCUCUUUAUCAACCGCUUGUCCCUGAGCUCGCUGUUUAAUGGGGAGAAUGUAGCGGAAUUUAUCUAGUGGAGCACGUGCAGAUCCUGCUCGGAGCUGAAUGCUUGGUUGAUCUGGCUGAUUGAUAGCUAAGAGGGUUGCAUGCACUUCUAUCCAGCAGUCCUCAUCUUUGGCAAAAAGUGAUUUGCUCGCUAUGUUUGUACUUUUUUAAUAUGUGUUUGCUUGGUUCUGUUUUUAUAGGAUUGAUAUCUCCAGGGGACAUUAUCGAUGCCAUCUAAGAAGCACCUAAUCCCUUAAAUGGCUAUACGAGAUUGAGAGAACUUACGGAGUUCUACCUGCCGCUCGGUGAUCCUUUGAAGAAAGGAUCCUUUCUCGGCUGGAAUUUUUCUCUGUUUUGCAAUUUGAGUCUGUGAUUGAGGUUCACUGGUUUUUCUACUUGGUUCAAGACUCCCAUGGUCAUCAUGUUGCUUAAUGUCUCUGCACUGCUCGUCUAUCCUAUUACUCCAUGGUUGUCAGCAAAAACUCCGUUGUCUUCAGGUGGUUUCAUCAGGUUGAGUUUUCCGAGUAUUAGGAUUUCUAUAAGGGAGACGAACUUUGGAUGGUUCUCUAAGUUUAGGCCCAUGUAAUAAGUUUAUGUGCUUUGUAUUUUUGUAUUCUAUUAUGUAUUGAGCUGAGCAAGCUUUUUUUAUCAAUGAAAAUCUCUAUCUAUUGCAG